CAGUGAUGCCACAGAGAUGCCACCCACCAGAACAAAGGACAUGGCGAUCAAUUUCAGGUUACUGCAGUGAGUCAGCAGCUUUUAUCAGAACCAGCCCUAGGAUCAGUGUUCCCUGGAUGUAACUCUCAUGCUCACUCAGCUCUUCAGGAGCAAAGAGGAACAACAUACAUAUAGGCACCUCAUUUACACAAACACAACGAUGAGAGGAAAUCUGCUGAGAAAGAUCAAGUCACACUCAAAAGUGACAACCUUUUCUAGAAGCCCCAGGCACACAUCCUGAAGAACAAAGAUGCUGAGAAAAUAACCACGGCUUUGGCAAUAAGGAAGAAGAAAGGACGCUGCAGAAGCUUCACGUGGCACAAUCAGCAAUACAUGUCAUUUGUCAUGAAACAGGCUGUCAUGUCACCGAGUGUGUGCAAAUGAGGACUGAGCACCUCCCAGAGCCAGGGAGCACUUGCACACCGGCUGCGAGAUUUAGAACUUGUUAUAAAGAAUUGAAACACACACAAA
rnacentral:lncRNA from 1 species